rnacentral:rRNA from 1 species
CCAAUAGCGUAUAUUAAAGUUGUUGCAGUUAAAAAGCUCGUAGUUGAAUUUCGGGAUCAAUAUAUCGGUCGUGCCAUCGGUACGUACUGGUAUGAUUGGUUUCUCCUUUCUGACGAACCAUGAUGUCAUUAAUUUGGUGUCAUGGGAAGUUAGGACUGUUACUUUGAAAAAAUUAGAGUGUUUAAAGCAGGCUUUAGCUUGAAUACAUUAGCAUGGAAUAAUGAAAUAGGACGUUCGAACCUAUUUUGUUGGUUUCUAGGAUCAACGUAAUGAUUAAUAGGGAUAGUUGGGGGCAUUAGUAUUCAAUUGUCAGAGGUGAAAUUCUGUGAUUUAUUGAAGACUAACUACUGCGAAAGCAUUUGCCAAGGAUGUUUUCAUUAAUCAAGAACGAAAGUGAGGGGAUCGAAGACGAUCAGAUACCGUCGUAGUCUUAACCAUAAACUAUGCCGACUAGGGAUCGGAUGAUGUUAUUUUUAAUGACUCAUUCGGCGCCUUACG